GAGAGCAGAGGUGGCUGUUGAGGCAGGAGACUCAGCCUGAGGAAUUCACAGAUAAGUUUCAAUUUAAAAAGAUUAAGAAAUAAAAAGGAAUUAGAAUUCUAAACUUAAGUUAAUAGAAUAGCUUAUCGAGAUAAUACUUAGCGUUAAUAAUUUAAGAUUUUAAGAGAAAAUAUGAAGGCUUACUUGAACAGUUUGAAAAGGAAAAGAGAAGAAAAAUAUUUACAAUAUGAUGGAGGCUGACCUGAAGCUUUUAUCCAGAGUAAUUUAGAAGCUUGUAAAGGGAGGUAUUAAACAGAGUUUUAAAAGGAUCUAGUAUGAAGGUCAGCCUUGUAGAUGUACAUUUAAAUGAAGGUUACCUAAAUAGAAUCUAAAUGGGAUUUUAAACCAUUAAGUCGUAGACAAUAGUUUGAAAAUGAGGUGUAGUUUAAAAAGAUUGAAAAAAUAGGUUAAUGUGAAGGCCGUUUUAAAAGUUAUGGCGCAUGUUAUGUUCGAAGGCAUGAGUUGGAAACAGGGAAGAUAGAAGUGGUAGGUUAGUAUUUGAGAAAGAAGAUUAGAAAAUGGAAGUGGAAAACGAAGAAGACAAAUACAGGAAGGUGAAGAGAACAGCUGUAGAGAAGAUAGGAAAAUAGAAGACGAAGCAUCUUUAGAAGACAGAAAAGGUAUUUAAACGCACAGGUAGGAAGUCGAAGAAAACAAGAUAGAAGCAAGAUAGAAAAACAAAAGGAAGUUCAGACAACUUUGGAUGCCAGCAUUCAAGAUAGGCAAAGAAGAUAAGAUUGAGACCAAAAGGUUGGAUAAGAUAUAAAAUCUCAAAAUCGGAAGGAAAUUAUUUUUAAAGCCGUAAAUUCAAAUUUCUGAUGGAGCGAGCACUUUAAAAUUCUGUAGACAGCCGCUUUACAAGAGUGAAACUAGUAAUCAAAGCUACUAGAACUGAAGUAGUUAAAAAGUUAAGGCAGAAUGCCGUUUGAAGAGUUAGAAGAAUAUUAAAGGCCUUAACUGUAGCUUAAUUUUGAUAACAAGGACUUUUGAUAACAAUUUCAAGAUUGUCAGCAUUUUGCAUUGGACUUGAGCUGAGGUGCUUUAAAAAUCCUAACAACUAGCAUUGGCAGCUGACCCAGUUCUACACAGAAGUGGAUUCAGUGAACCUAGGAAGACAGGAGCGGCAGACAGGAGUCCCGAAGCCAGUUUGGUGAAGCUAGGAAGGACUGAGGAGCCAGCAGCAGCAGUGCAUGGUGAAGAUAGCCCAGGACACAGUGCGGUGCGGUGGAGGAGGCUAGGAAGAAGGAGCCAUAACGAUGUGGUGGUGAAGCUAGGGAAGAGGAUUCCAGGAAGGUGGAGCCAGUGCGAGUUGGUGAUGAAGCUAGCUGGCGGCUUGGUUUGUCAACUGCGCGGAGGAGGCAUUGUGGAAAGAAUAGAUAGCAGCUCCUAGACCAGCAUGCCAGUGUGCAAGAAAGGCUGCAGGGAGAGCAUGUGGUGCGGUAACAUUCCGUGAGGUCGGCAGCCUGGUGGUGGUUUUCUCUGUAACUUGGAUGGUAACUUCUUUGUUUACUUUGCCUUAAUAGUAACGGGGAUUGUAGGCUUCUGUGUAAAAGAGAUUUAUCUGGGAAUGUAGGCCUUUGCGGGUGUUGUAGGUUUUUCUUUUUCAGGGUUAUGUCCUCUUGCAUCUUGUGUGAAGCUUUUGAGGGCAGACUGCCAAGGCCCAGAAGAAUGGUAGAUGGCAAGUUGUCUUAACCGAUUUGAGGAAGUGAAUGGUAGAGCCAGCACAAUCUCCCGGUUUUGUAAGAAUUUUUAGUUUGUGAACAGAUGACCUACUGCAGUCUUCUGCGAGUCUCACUACUGUGUAGGGGAGGUAAUUGGGCAAGGUGCUUUUGGGGGGGAUGGGGGCAAAAUAUAUUUUGAGUUCUUUUCCCCUUAGGUCUGUCUAGAAUCCUAAAGGCAGAUGACUCAAGGGAACCAGAAAAAAAGGAAAUCCAGUAUCAGGAUAAGCAGAACUCAACAGGUUUACAGUUUCUAGAAAUGAGAGGAUGAGUGAUAGCUCUCACAGAGUGUGGAGAGCCUGCCCGUUGGCGGGAUGGCUGGCAGUUUAUUCUUUCCUCCCUCCCUUAACAAGACUUGUAAAGUUCCUAAUCUUUUAAACAUUUUUACUUAAAUAUUUGGGAAUGGUCUUAACAGGAGUGGGUGGGGGGAAAUGUUUUUUUCUAAGAUUUUCCACAGAUGCAAUAGUUCUAUUGGCACACUGGGGUAGAGAAGGCGUGUACUGCUAUGCUGUUGGCACGACACCUUCAGGGACUGGAGCUGCCUUUUAUCCUUGGAAGAGUUUCCCCAGUUGCCGCUGAAGUGCACACAGUGCAGCUUUGGUUCACAGUCACCUCAGGAGAACCUCAGGAGCUUGACUAGGCCAGAUGUUGAAGUUAAGUUUUCAAGCACCAUGACUUAACAUUUUCAUUAAAGGGGAGGGCAAAACUUAGUUGGCUGUGGCCUGUUGUUUGGGUGGGUGGGGGGUUGUUAGGUAAUUGUUUAGUUUAUGAUUUCAGAUAAUCAUACCAGAGAACUUAAGUAUUUGGAAAAACUGAGGAAAUCUCAGCUUUCAAGUUGGCAAGUAACUCCCAAUCCAGUUUUUGCUUCUUUGGGGGGGGCAAGGAAAGUCAAUCUCAACAGUUGUCUGUUCCCUUGAAAGUGUGUAGGGCUUGGGGGGGUUGGUCUGGUCCACUGAAUGAUGUGAAAGCUACAGUGGGGAUUCUUUUGAAGCUACCGGAUGUAGAUUGUAGUGUGUGGUUCUCUUUUGAAAUUUUUUUCAGGUGACUUAAUGUAUCUUAAUAACUACUAUAGGAACUUCAGAGCAAAGGAAGUGGCUUUAAUGACCCUGAAGGGAUUUCUUCUGGUGAUAGCUUUUAUAUUAUCAAGUAAGAGAUUUCCAUCUCAGUUUUGUAUAAGCAAGUCUUUUUCCUAGUGUAGGAGAAAUGAUUUUCCUUGUGACUAAACAAGAUGUAAAGACCUUUUUCAGAUAACACCAUCUGAGUCAUAACCAGCCUGGCAGAGUAUGAUGACCUAGAUGCAGAGGGAACAGCUCGUUGGUGAAUGUGUGAUAAGUAAAGGCAGAAAAGAUAAUGUCAUGUCUCCGUGGGGAGUGAGCAUGAGCCUGAGAUUGUUACUACUGAUGAAGUCUGCAUAUGCAAAAAUUAAGCAAAUGAAAGCAACCAGUAUAAAGUUACGGAAAUCUACCUUUAAAAGUUAAUGGCUUACCAAGCUUUAUCCACAAAAGUAAAGAAUUGAUGAAAAACAGUGAAGAUCAAAUAUUCAUCUCAAAACUGCUUUUACAAAAGCAGAAUAAAAAUGAAGUGAAAAUGCUACAUUAAUCCUGGAGUAAAAAGAAGCUGAGCUUAUUGAGAUGAGUGGGAUCAAGUGGCUUGAGAGGCGGUGCAGUGUGCCAAUCUUUCGUUUGCCUCAGACAGGUUUCUCUACAUAAGCAGAAGAGUUGCUUCAUUUCAUCUCGGAGCAGGAAACAGCAGACUGCUGUUGACAGAUAAGUUUAACUUGAAUCUGCAGUAUUGCAUGUUAGGGAUAAGCACUUUUUUAAAGAAAAAUAUAAGAGCUGUGGAGGGAGUUAUUGAAUGUUAGAACGUACCUGAACCCUUCUUAGGGCAGUUCAGGCUUGUGAGCAGUUUUCCCAUCCAGCCUUUUAAAUAAAAAUUGUAAGUCUUGGGCUUUCAUGAUGGGAUAGUAAGUAAAGUAGCAGGCUUUUGCAUCAUAAGUUUUAUCACAAAAGCCUCGUACAUGAUUAGUGCCUGUUUUAAUUACAUCCUUUACUAAAUUAAGGAAUCUAUCGUUUGAAUCUGUGCAGACCCCCACGAUAGGGACCUAGCAUUCAUUAUGUGCUGAAAGUCAGGUGUGAAUGUGCUCAAUGUACUUGUGCUUAAAAUCAUUAAAUCAUAAUAAAAUUAAAAUCAUAAAUAAAAUGCUUCACUAGAUAAUGUAUGUAUUUAGAAGGCUGUCUCCUUAUUUAAAUAAAGUCUUGUUUGUUGUCUGUAGUUAGUGUUGGGCAAUUUGGGGGGAAUGUUCUUCUCUAAUCUUUUCAGAAACUUUGUCUUCGAACACUUAAAUGGACAAGAUCAGGACUUGAGCAGAAGACCGAAUUUGAAUUUAACUUUCAGGCAGGAAAGACAAAUUUUAUUCUUCAUGCAGUGAUGAGCAUUUAAUAAUGGCAGGCCUGGCAUAGAGGCCCUCUAACUAAGGACUAAGUACCUUAGGCAGGUGGGAGAUGAUGGUCAGAGUAAAAGGUAACUACAUAAUUUUGUUUCCAGAAAGUCAGGGGUCUAAUUUGACCAUGGCUAAACAUCUAGGGUAAGAUACUUUCCCACAUUUCAAAUGUGCAUGUUGAGUUUAAAUGCUUACAACCAUCUCAUCCACGUAAGCCUUUUGUCACCUCACUUGAACCCCGAGUUGGGCCUGGCAUGUGGGUGUUAAAGUGUUUUCCUUUGCAGAGGCCUCAUUUCAUCCUUCAUGGAGCUGCUCAGGACAUUGUAUAUAAGCGCUUGCCUCUGUCUUCUGUUCUGCUAGUGAGUGAGUGAGACCUUGCAGUGAGUUUGUUUUUCCUGGAAUUUGGAGGGAAGGGAGGAGGGGGAUGGGGCUUACUUGUUCUAGCUUUUUUUUACAGACCACACAGAAUGCAGGUGUCUUGACUUCAGGUCUUGUCUGUUCUUUGGCAAGUAAUAUGUGCAGUACUGUUCCAAUCGGCUGCUGUUAGAAUGCAUUGUGACACGACUGGAGUGUGAUUAAAGUUGUGUUUACCCAAAUGUUUGGAGUAGUGAUUGUUGAAGGAAAAGCCAUGAGUAAUACAGGCUGAGUGUUGAGGAAAUGGCUCUGCAGCUUUAAGUAACACGUGUUUGUGAUUGAAGCCAAGUCCCUUUGCUGUGCUGCUUUAGGUAAAUGUUUUUUGUUCAUUUCUGGUGAGGGGGGUUGGGAGCACUGAAGCCUUUAGUCUCUUCCAGAUUCAACUUAAAAUCUGACAAGAAAUAAAUUCAGACAAGCAACAUUCUUGAAGAAAUUUUAACUGGCAAGUGGAAAUGUUUUUAACAGUUCCGUGGUCUUUAGUGCAUUGUCUUGUGUAGGUGUCUCUCUCCCCUCCCUUGGUCUUAAUUCUUACAUGCAGGAACAUUGAAAACCGCAGACAUCUAUUCAAGGGGCCAGAGAAGCCAGACCCAGUAAGGAAAAAUAGCCCAUUUACUUAAAUCGAUAAGUGAAGCAGACAUUUCCAUUUUCAAUGUGGGGAUUGGGAAGCCCUAGUUCUUUCAGAUGUACUUCAGACUAUAGAAGGAGCUUCCAGUUGAAUUGAAUUCACCAGUGGACAAAUGAGGACAACAGGUGAACGAGCCUUUUCUUGUUUAAGACUAGUUCCUGGUAAUUAGCGUUGAAUUCUCUUCAGCUUCAUGCUGGAGCAGCUAGCAUGUCAUUUGUUUGUUGGCCUUGGGGUGGAGGGGUGAGGUGGGCGCUAAGCCUCUCUUUAAGAUUUUUCAGGUACCCCUCACUAAAGGCACUGAAGGCUUAAUGUAGGACAGCGGAGCCUUCCUGUGGCAAGAGUCGAGCGAGCAGUGUUGAGACCAAAUUGGUACCAUGAUCGGUUUUGAUUAGCAGUGAGGACUACCCUACCUUGCUGGAGUUGAAGCAUCCAAAUACUUGAGAGGCCCUGGGCUUGUUUUAAUGUGAAAAAAGCUGUUUUUAUAGCAGCCUUACCAGCCCAAACCUCAAGUUGUGCUUGCAGGGGAGGGAAAAGGGGGAAAGUGGGCAACCAUAUUUCCCUAGCUUUUCCAGAAUCCUGUUACAAGGUCUCCCCACAAGUGAUUUCUCUGCCACAUCGCCACCCUGUGCCUUUGGCCUAAUCACAGACCCUUCACCCCUCACCUUGAUGCAGCCAGUAGCUGGAUCCUUGAGGUCAUGAUGCCUAAUCGGUUUCAAGGUAACCAUGGUGCCAAGGUCCUGUGGGUUGCACCAGAAAAGGCCAUUUUCUCCCCUGCCUGUAAUUUAACGUUAAAACCACAGCUAAGUAGCUAAGAUGUUUUAUAUGCAGCACGUACUCAGACUAAGCAAACCAGUCAAGGGUAUAGUACUGUUUGACAUUAAUGCUGGGUGGGAAUGUAGGAAGUUGAUUGAAAGACAAGCGAGGUAGGGAGCUGUUGGGGUGGGAUUGCAAAAUUCUCUGCUAAGACUUUUUCAGGUGGACAUAACAGACUUGGCCAAGCUAGCAUCUUAGCGGAAGCAGAUUCUUCAGUAGGGUUGUAAAGGUUUUUCUUUUCCUGAGAAAACAAGCUUUGUUUUCUCAGGUUUUGCUUUUUGGCCUUUCCCUAGCUUUAAAAAAAAGCAAAAGAUGCUGGUGGUUGGCACUCCUGGUUUCCAGGACGGGGUUCAAGUCCCUGCGGUGUCUUUGCUUGAUUCUUAAUUAUCAUGAGGCCUUCACAUUUUCCUUGGAGGGUUCUAAAAGGCUCUGGAUAUGGGAGAUGACAUCACUGGAACACUGCCUAGCCUCAGUGUUGAACUCAGAGUAACUUGAUAACUGCAUUGUCUUUUUCAGCUUAUACCUAAUUUGUCUAUUGAGUUGACACACCUACUAUUGAAUACUUUGAUUUUAUGAAAUAAAAACUAAAUCUCUCA